AUACUAAACGACAAUUGUUUAAAACUUAAUAUAUUUUGACUUUCGUGAAGUUUAUACAUGCCGCAGAUUAAGAGAUACUCUGCAUUUGUUUAAAAUGUUAAACUAUAUAAGACUGAUGCUAAGAUAAUGUUGGCGAUGUAUUGUGUCAGUGGUUGAGAUCGUUUGUGUCGUUAAGAAUGUUUGCCAUCAUGUUUGCGCUCCCACAUCAUAAUUCCGAUCAUAAUUGUAGUGUUUAGAAGUCCUAAAUUGCAGUGAAUUAAGUGCUUGGGAGGUCUAAGACUCCAGAAAGUCGAGAAAGAAAUCAUCGUUGAUUCGACUUCCGUACCACCCGAAGCAGAACCUUGCCAUUCUUUAUCUUCCAGUGGAAAAUCGUUCCACGCAAUCUGAACAAGAUGUUUUUCCCGUUGGUGUUCCGUUGCGCUUACUUCAAUGGAUUCGCUAUCCAUUCGCCAGUUAUCGACAGACUAUUGAAACGAAAUACUAGCGAGUCCCCGGAAUCUGCGGUAAUAGAGCUAAGGAUCAACUACGCAUCUAAAGUGUAUGGCAUUAGUGGCCCCGGAAACACCAAUUUUGGUUUGCGAUGGAGUAGUAUGGGUUAUAAAAACUUUCGCGGAUGAUUUCUGAACUAUUGGAGUGAAUAAACGAUCUAUGUUUCAUUUGUUUUGA